AAUUAAAGAGAAGCACACACACACACACAUAUAUAUAUAUAUAUAUAUAUGUCUUCUUCUCUUUGGUGUUCCAAGUCUUUUCGUCUCUUCCAUAAAAAAGAGAGGGAACUAAAUUCUCUGCAAACGGGCAAGUCUUUCCAUCAAUAGUUCAUGCUCGUCGUCUACAUGUUCUUGAUUUUAUCUUCAAGGCUAUCGUCAUAUAGUUGGUGAUCAUCGAAUUGCAGUUAAGUUACGGAGUUUUGCCGUUCGGAACCAAACACCGAAGGGUCAAACAGAAGGUUAGGUCGGGAACAGGACAGCAAUAGUCAACCCCACCCACAAUUGUUCGAGUUGACAAAGUCAACGGAUGCGAACUUGAAUAAUCCAACGGUUCGUAUUCAUUCCAACUGAUCCAACGGUAUACAUUGAAUUUGAUCAAAAUCUAUUUUCGUAGGGCUUGAUGGGCUGCUAAAAGUUAAAAGCCGGUUUAGGCCCAUUACUGUUAACAGCUGGGGCGAGCUCGGUACGUGUUUCCUAAAGCCCGCAGGUAGGUGAAAGUAUUGGCGUUUUCGUUGAGCGUAAACGAGAUGACGUGCGCAACCACAAGCCAAAAACGACGUGAUGUUCUUUGGUAACAAAGAAUGACGGUGGUUUGGUUCGGGAGGGGGAGGAACAUGAAGAAACUUAGAGCAACACGAAGCUAAAUCAUCGGUGAUAAUGGAGCAGCAUAACAUGAUCAUCGGAAGCUAUCGAUGAUGUAACAUUACCUCCGACAAUAUCAUGAGAACAUUCUCCGAGAUGAAUUGGUUGUUGGC